AUGAAGUCGUUGUCGAGGCUGAUUGAGGAACCAAAGAUGAAGCUAAAGAAGGAUGUGAAGAAUGAUGAAGAGGAAGAUGAGAGGAGAAGAGAUAAUUUUUGGGAACUUUCUGUGGAGUUUUCUGGUUACCCUUCUCAUACUAUUGAAGAGUUUCUUACCAAGGAUUGGGUAAACCUGAGAUGGAUUCAAGUGAUACAUGAAGCUUUAGGAAUAGCUUGA